rnacentral:rRNA from 1 species
AACGAACGCUGGCGGCAUGCCUAACACAUGCAAGUCGAACGAACCCUUCGGGGUGAGUGGCGCACGGGUGCGUAACACGUGGGAACCUGCCCUUAGGUUCGGAAUAACACAGAGAAAUUUGUGCUAAUACCGGAUAAUGUCUUCGGACCAAAGCUUUAUCGCCUUUGGAUGGGCCCGCGUAGGAUUAGCUAGUUGGUGAGGUAAAGGCUCACCAAGGCGACGACCCUUAGCUGGUCUUAGAGGAUGAUCAGCCACACUGGGACUGAGACACGGCCCAGACUCCUACGGGAGGCAGCAGUGGGGAAUAUUGGACAAUGGGCGAAAGCCUGAUCCAGCAAUGCCGCGUGAGUGAUGAAGGCCUUAGGGUUGUAAAGCUCUUUUACCUGGGAUGAUAAUGACAGUACCAGGAGAAUAAGCCCCGGCUAACUCCGUGCCAGCAGCCGCCGCAG